rnacentral:lncRNA from 1 species
GGAGAAACCCAGCUCUGCCAGCAAAUGAGUCCAACAGCUCUGUUCCCAUAGGACCUCUUAGCACUGCUAAUAACGUGUGUCAGGAGACUAGUGUGGUGGCGCCCUUGUGACUCUCGGGAGAGUCCAGCCAGUGCCCUAGCCAGCCUCCCAGCACAUCAGGAGCACAGUGGACACGCACUUCCCCACCAGCCCUUGGGGGACUUGCCAGCUUGCCCGUGGCCCACAGCUGUGGACAGGACUCUCCGUGUGCAGCCCAACUCUGGUCCAGGACGGCUUCUCUACCAUGCAGGGGCUGCAGCCACACCCUUCCAGCGAAGGCUGAAUCCUAGCCUUGGAGAGCUCUCCUCCCCCAGCCCAGUCCAAGCUGCUCUCUUCCUUCAGUCUCCCUUAGAGGACUUCCUCCUGCGCUCCUUCCCCUUUGUUUAAAAAUCUGAAAUAUA